rnacentral:rRNA from 1 species
UCCCAUAAACCGUGGCUCAGUUCAGAUCGUAGGCUGCAACUCGCCUACGUGAAGUAGGAAUCGCUAGUAAUCGCAGGUCAGCAUACUGCGGUGAAUACGUUCCCGGGCCUUGUACACACCGCCCGUCACACCAUGGAAGUUGGCCAUGCCCGAAGUCGUUACUCCAACCCUUGUGGAGGAGGACGCCGAAGGUGGGGCUAAUGACUGGGGUGAAGUCGUAACAAGGUAUCCGUACCGGAAGGUGCGGAUGGAUCACCUCCUAA